rnacentral:misc_RNA from 1 species
GAAAUGCGAUAAGUAGUGUGAAUUGCAGAAUUCAGUGAAUCAUCGAAUCUUUGAACGCACAUUGUGCCCCUUGGUAUUCCAUGGGGCAUGCCUGUUCGAGCGUCAUUUGUACCCUCAAGCUCUGCUUGGUGUUGGGUGUUUGUUCCCGUCUCCGCGCGUGGACUCGCCCCAAAGUGAUUGGCAGCCGGCGUACUGGUCCCGGAGCGCAGCACAUGUCGCGCAAACGAGUGCCUUGGUACGGCGGCGUCCAUAAGCCCCUCUCUCACGCUCUUGACCUCGGAUCAGGUAGGGAUACCCGCUGAACUUAAGC